rnacentral:tRNA from 1 species
GCGCCAGUAGCUCAGGGGAUAGAGUAUUUCACUCCGAAUGAAAAGGCCGGUGGUUCGAAUCCACUCUGGCGCACCA